rnacentral:rRNA from 1 species
UGGGGAAUAUUGGACAAUGGGCGAAAGCCUGAUCCAGCAAUACCGCGUGUGUGAAGAAGGCCUUCGGGUUGUAAAGCACUUUAAGUUGGGAAGAAAAAGCUUCACCUAAUACGUGAAGCCUUGACGGUACCGACAGAAUAAGCACCGGCUAACUCUGUGCCAGCAGCCGCGGUAAUACAGAGGGUGCUAGCGUUAAUCGGAUUUACUGGGCGUAAAGCGUGCGUAGGUGGUUUGAUAAGUCGAUUGUGAAAGCCCCGGGCUUAACCUGGGAAUUGCGGUCGAUACUGUCAGACUCGAAAACGGUAGAGGGAGGUGGAACUCCAGGUGUAGCGGUGAAAUGCGUAGAUAUCUGGAAGAAAMACCGAUGGCGAAGGCAGCCUCCUGGGCCUGUUUUGACUGAGGCACGAAAGCGUGGGUAGCAAACAGGAUUAGAUACCCUGGUAGUCCACGCCGUAAACGAUGGGCACUAGGUGUGGGGGGUGUCGACUCCCUCCGUGCCGACGCUAACGCAUUAAGUGCCCCGCCUGGGGAGUACGGCCGCAAGGCUA